rnacentral:antisense_RNA from 1 species
UCAGCAGAUGGGAAAUCUGGAAUACUUUGUUUCUAGAGAGAUGUUCUGCGUUAGAGAACAAGCAGAGGCUGCAGGGAAGGUGUGGUUUAUGUAUUUACAAUGCGAGAGGACAUGUGGAAGUUCCCUUGUUAUGUCGCCUCACAAGGAAUAAAGGCAACAGGAUGAGGACAGCAGGACUCAGAAGCACAAGCAACAGGAGACAUGAUCAAUGGGACUGGAUCAAAACUGGAAACAUUCGGUGUCCUUCAAAGGACACCAUCAGGAAAGUGAAAAGACA